GCACGGACACACUGGAACUGAAACACGGUCCAGACUCCUACGGGAGGCAGCAGUGGGGAAUUUUGCGCAAUGGGGGAAACCCUGAUGCAGCGACGCCGCGUGAGCGAUGAAGCCCUUCGGGGUGUAAAGCUCUUUCGGCAGGGAAGAUAAUGACGGUACCUGCAGAAGCAGCUGCGGCUAACUACGUGCCAGCAGUCGCGGUAAUACGUAGGCAGCAAGCGUUGUUCGGAGUUACUGGGCGUAAAGGGUGCGUAGGCGGUCCUAUAAGUAUGGUGUGAAAUCUCCCGGCUUAACUGGGAGGGUGCGCUAUAGACUGUGGGACUAGAGUGUGGGAGAGGAAAGUGGAAUUCCUGGUGUAGCGGUGAAAUGCGUAGAUAUCAGGAGGAACACCGGUGGUGUAAACGGCUUUCUGGACCAUAACUGACGCUGAGGCACGAAAGCGUGGGUAGCAAACAGGAUUAGAUACCCUGGUAGUCCACGCUGUAAACGAUGUGUGCUGGAUGUUGGGCGACCUAGUCGCUCAGUGUCGUAGCUAACGCGAUAAGCACACCGCCUGGGGAGUACGGCCGCAAGGUUGA
rnacentral:rRNA from 1 species